rnacentral:tRNA from 1 species
UGGCCUCGUGGCGCAACGGAUGAGCGCGUCAGGAUGCGAGCCUGAAGGUUGAGAGUUCGAAUCUCUCCGAGGUCGU